GCAGUCGACGAUGAAGCCUUUCGGGGUGGAUUAGUGGCGAACGGGUGAGUAACACGUGGGCAAUCUGCCCUUCACUCUGGGACAAGCCCUGGAAACGGGGUCUAAUACCGGAUAACACUCUGUCCUGCAUGGGACGGGGUUAAAAGCUCCGGCGGUGAAGGAUGAGCCCGCGGCCUAUCAGCUUGUUGGUGGGGUAAUGGCCUACCAAGGCGACGACGGGUAGCCGGCCUGAGAGGGCGACCGGCCACACUGGGACUGAGACACGGCCCAGACUCCUACGGGAGGCAGCAGUGGGGAAUAUUGCACAAUGGGCGAAAGCCUGAUGCAGCGACGCCGCGUGAGGGAUGACGGCCUUCGGGUUGUAAACCUCUUUCAGCAGGGAAGAAGCGAAAGUGACGGUACCUGCAGAAGAAGCGCCGGCUAACUACGUGCCAGCAGCCGCGGUAAUACGUAGGGCGCAAGCGUUGUCCGGAAUUAUUGGGCGUAAAGAGCUCGUAGGCGGCUUGUCACGUCGGAUGUGAAAGCCCGGGGCUUAACCCCGGGUCUGCAUUCGAUACGGGCUAGCUAGAGUGUGGUAGGGGAGAUCGGAAUUCCUGGUGUAGCGGUGAAAUGCGCAGAUAUCAGGAGGAACACCGGUGGCGAAGGCGGAUCUCUGGGCCAUUACUGACGCUGAGGAGCGAAAGCGUGGGGAGCGAACAGG
rnacentral:rRNA from 1 species